rnacentral:rRNA from 1 species
UACGUAGGUGGCAAGCGUUGUCCGGAUUUACUGGGCGUAAAGAGCGCGCAGGCGGUCGUUCAAGUCGCGUGUGAAAGCCCCCGGCUCAACUGGGGAGGGUCACGCGAUACUGAUCGACUCGAAGGCAGGAGAGGGAAGCGGAAUUCCCGGUGUAGUGGUGAAAUGCGUAGAUAUCGGGAGGAACACCAGUGGCGAAGGCGGCUUCCUGGCCUGUUCUUGACGCUGAGGCGCGAAAGCUAGGGGAGCAAACGGGG